GCUGUAGGAGAAACACAAAUUACCUCAGGCACACAGACUGAUGCGACAAAACCGACAUGACUGGUUAGGACAUGAGGAGGAAACAGUAGGAGCUGUGUGAGGCUACUAAAGGCAGUGGAUCCCUCAGCAGCUGGAUUACAAAGAACACAGUCUCAGAUCAGCACAGCCCUGCCCUCCAGCACUAUCAGCAGCAGGAGCAGCAGCAACCCCUCAACAGCAACAUUGUACCCAUCAGACAGACAGCCAGGUUCAUAAUGGAUAUAAGGAAGUUUUUUCAAAAACAGGAGCCACAUUCAGUCCAAAGAGGGAGAGAGGAAAGAGGGGAACGUGAGGAGAAAGUACAAGGUCAGGAAGAACCAGACAUGGCUGGUAAGGACAUGAGGAGGAAACAGUAGGAGCUGUGUGAGGCUACUAAAGGCAGUGGAUCCCUCAGCAGCUGGAUUACAAAGAGCACAGUCUCAGAUCAACACAGCCCUGCCCUCCAGCACUAUCAGCAGCAGGAGCAGCAGCAACCCCUCAACAGCAACAUUGUACCCAUCAGGUAAAACAUAGGCUACGUUUGCUUUGCCUUGUCGCCACCUCACAACAGUAAUAUAGUAUGAUGCGAUCCCAUAUUAGAUUCUUGAUGAAUGUGUGUUGUUGUUAUUCAGCCUGGUUCAAUGUGCCCCUUUUUAACUUUGAGCACCCGCCCCUUUAAACGUCUCUGCACGGCCCUGCAUCUACUAGACAUCAUAGGCCUCAUCA
ensembl:lncRNA